AGCUUUGUGCAGUGGUGUUAUUAUAGCCAAUGAGAUUUAUCUGAGGUGUGAUUAUUGCUGAUUGAAAACUUUUCCCAGUGUCUCGCUGUGAUGACCUAAAAUAUAAUUGUCAUUGUCUGUUUUGACAGUUUCUAUGUAGA